UUGAAAAUAGGUAACUAACUUGUAAUUUUAUCAAAGUUAUAAUUUACCAUUUAAAUAAUCAAUUUUUAUUUUUUUGUAAUAAACAAAAUAGAAAGAGAAGAGUUAAAAUUUCUAACUGGCAAGCAUAACAGAAUGGAGAUAUUCCUAGGCAUGCCAUGAAGAGUCUCUCUUCCUUUUUUUUCUCUGUCGUUCCCCUACUUUGCUUUAGGGUUAAGUCCCUCUCUUAUUGCUGGUGUGCGGCCUCCUCAAGGUGGGUUUCGUCCCUCCCAUUUUGGGAUGGUCUGUGUAUAUGUUUUGUUUUUCUUUUGUAGGUCCAGUGAUGUCAAUGAAAGGGAUUUUGGUUUUGACCCGAGUAGUCUUGCGUUUUCCGAUUGCAUAUGUGUUAUGGGUGCUCACAGUGCAUCGAUGAUGGUUAUUUGAGCUACAUGCAAAAUUAAUGGUGGUUGCUCUCUAUUGCAAAGGGAAUGGAGGAAGUUUCUCGAUGGUUGAAAGAGCCGAUUGAUGGGUGCUAUCACCCUUUACCUACAGAACUCCCCUUCUGCUUCGUCUCCUCUUUAGGCUACUAAUCUAAGUUUGAACGUUUCCUCGGGAAAAAAUUAAAAGAGUUGGGGAACCGAGGCACCCCACCCCCCUCCUCUCUCCGCCCCUGUCUUGGGGUCCUUAAACUUCGCGUGCUGUUAUAAUCUUGAAGGGGCUUUCCUACCUAUGGUUUUCUACUUGCUCAUGGCUGUUGAUUUUGGAUACUGUAGGAGGGAAUAGCGCCAUGGGCGGACGUUCCUAAGGUGAAUGGCAUUAAGGGUGUUUGGCUCUGGUUCGAUUUGGAGUUUGCCUAAUAAUUGGAAUCAAAUUUCAAUGUUUCGGUUUCGAUUCAAUACAGUUCUUUGUUCUUCA